GACGAACCGUCCAAACGUUAUUCGGAAUCACUGGGCUUACAGAGUUCGUAGGCGGUCCCAAAAGUUAGGUGUGAAAUCCCUCGGCUCAACCGAGGAACUGCGCUUAAAACUGUGGGACUCGAGGGAGAUAGAGGAAAGCGGAACUGAUGGUGGAGCGGUGAAAUGCGUUGAUAUCAUCAGGAACACCGGUGGCGAAGGCGGCUUUCUGGGUCUUACCUGACGCUGAGGAACGAAAGCCAGGGGAGCGAACAGG
rnacentral:rRNA from 1 species